CUGACUUAUACUGGUCCAGACAAAGAUGGUGAGGAGACACCUGUUCCUUAACCCACCCCUUCCAGUGGGUUUUGGCUUUGUAAAUAUGUUUGAGGCCUCGUGAAAAAAGUGAGAUCCAAGAUUGGUGUUCUAAAAUCAAUGUUCUUCUUCAGAAUGGAGCUGAAGAAGGGGCAACUUUGGACUGGGGUGCAUUGUAUAGGAAUAUCCAUCUUCAGUUUUUUCAUUCUCCCAUUUAAAGGGUUUUGCCCCAUUUGGUAAGUUUACAAGAAUGUUCAUACAUGUGUGGGUGUUUUUUCAUAUUUGGAGGAAUGUUUAUUUUUUAAACAAGGUCACAAAUACAAGCAUUAUAUUCCAUUGUGUCAGCUUGUACCUAAGACAGAAGACAUGGUCAGGCCUAAAACAUCAACACAGUUUAUGUUGCCAAAUCUUCACAAUGUCUACUUCUGUGGGUACUGUCUGCCUGUUGACACAUGGAUCUAUGGGAUUGCUUUAAUAAAACAAAGACGGAAGCAGAUAUUUAACCUAGGUGACAAAAAAAGACAUUUUCUUAAUCUCCCCCAAUGUGGAAAACCCAAAGACUAAGUAAAACCCAGCUGGCUUGUGGUCUGACCAAUGGUGAAACUCACUGCCCUCCCUUUAGGCCACAUCAACUGCAGAAGGGAGAGAUCUUUGCAUGCCACUGUCAAUCCGUAAUGAAAUACUUUGAAGGGUGCUUAGAGCAUGAUUCAUUGCCUACCAAUGGCUAUGUUUUUAGUGCAGUUAAAUUUAAAUGUGUUUACUAGAAUGUAACAUUACUUUAGGGAAACAAAACUCAGGCAGGAGGACCCAAAGGAACUUGAUCCUUUUGUGAGUUCAUGCAAGUCGAGCAAAAAUCUGCCUUUCAGAGAACUGGCUCUGGUGAAGUGCUUUCAUUCCUUGGUCUCCUUUGGAGUGGGGGAGUUAGAAAGAGGUGAAAGGAAAUCCAGUUUCAGUCUUGGAAAUACUAUACAAUACCUGGGAACUCAUUGGUGAGGUCAAGGUGAUCCUCAAAAUGAAAUCCAGCAUUCCCAAUGGGCAAAACUUGGAUUUACUCUUUGGGUUACAACUCCGAGAAUCUCACUCACCAAUCUAGUGGCUGACAAAGGUGACUUGGCUAUGCUGGGAACUUUAGUCCAAAAAGUAACUUUCUCAAGCUUUGCCAAUGGAUGCUGGCACUUUCACAGGGCCAUGGUAGGAUUUCACUUUUUUUCUCUGGCAGGAAGCAAGACUAAGAAAGGACAUACAUACAGGCAGAAUAGAUUCUGUUUUGUGGUCCUUGUGGAAGAACCCAGCGGCAAGGAGAAUUAAAAGCAAGCCAAAUUACACCAAAGAAAGAUUUCACCUCCAUUCUGGCAGGAAAACUGUGUUUAAUUGGUUGAUUUUGCUUUAAGCCCAAGUCCCUAGUCUUCAUGUUCAUUGGCAGACCUUUGAAAUGGGGUUUGCCUUUGGAAUCAGCUAACAUGUGUAGGAAUGGAUUUUAGAAAUUGAAACUUUUCCCAAUCUUUAUUUAUUUAGUUACUUGGUUAUAUUUUAGCUCAUUUUUCCUGUUAGCACAAAGCAGCAUUCACCAAUCUCCUUCCAUUCCAAUUUAUGUGUGUACAUGUCUUGAAUCACCCACAUAAUUUUCAUGGGGGUUUCAUAGGCAAGGAAAAUUCAAAGGUGGUAACUCUGUCAAAGUCCUGUGAGGGAGAAAAACUAAGUGACCUGAAGCCAGUGAAUAUAAACACAGUGCUGAAUCAAAUCAAAGAUCUCUCACAUCCAGUAGUCUGUUCCCAUAGUGGCCAAGCAGUUACAAAUAUGGAUUGAGUGUCCCUUAUCUGAAAUGCUUGGGACCAGAAAUGUUUUACAUUUUAGAUUUUUUCAGAUUUUGAAAUACAUGCAUUUGCAUAUAGGUACUUAAUGGGAUAUCUUGGAAAAGGGACCCAAAUCCAAGCACAAGGUUCUUCUAUGUUUCACAUACACCUUAUACAGAUAUCCUAAAGGUAAUUUUAUACGAGAUGUUUUUAUAAUUUUGUUCAUGAAACAAUGUUUGUGUACACUGAACAAUCAGAAAGCAAACAUGUUAUGAUCUCAGCCACCCAUGUGGACAAUUUCAGAUUUUGGGGUAUUUGGGAUUCCAGAAUUCCAGAAAAAGGAUGCUCAGCCUGUUCACCGGGACCUGACUGCAACUGCACCUGCUGUCUCACAAUAUUCCCUGUGAACCAGAAAGCGAUAAUAUAGAGGCACAUUACUCCCAAGUCCCCCAGCUGAACACUCUAAACCAGGGGUGAGAAAGCUUGACCCUCCAGAUGUUUUGAACUAUUAUUCCCACAAGCCCUUACCAUUGGCUAGAUAGAUCUCAUGGGAAUCACAGGCCAAAACUGCUGGAAGUCAGGUAUUUCCAAAUGUCGGCUUUCCGGUGAACUUGCAGAGAAAAUUACCAAAAAAGAAUCCUGACUUGAAAUCAACUCAUGAGAACAUAUGGACUGUUAUGUAGAAACCUUCAGCUUUCUGUGAAUAUGUGUGAACAGAUCUAGAAACAAUCAUGGCUUAAAUUAGUUUCUAGAGUGUUUCCUUUCAUCCCCCAUUACAUUUAAAUUCACACUUAUCUGGAAACCAACAGUUGCUAUGUGUUUGUACUCAUAGGCCUUGUCUUUUAUAGCUAGUAUCAGGGUAUAGAAAACUCUCCAAAUAUAGUGUGAGCACUAGAAUGGUCACUAAUAAUUUGUGCUGAAACACUUGGAAAAGACAUUGGAAAAACAAAGGUUCUCCAAGUGUGAUUCCUCAUAUAGAACAAAUGGCAUUAAUUCCUUGUCACAAACCUUCCAGCUAUCCAGAUCUGGCAGGGACAGUCCUGAUUCAUCCUCUGUCAUCCCACUUUCCAACAGUCGUUAAAAGGUUCCAGUGUCUUUUUUCUCCACUCACUUUCCUCCUUUGUCCUCAGGUUAUUUUAGGGGGAGAGCAAGGGGCAGAGUUUAGCCCUUUCCAGUAGGGUCAAACAAAAACAAACUGCUGCAACCUCUUCUAGUUCAUCUGUUUUUCCUUAUUAAUAACUUUUGCCCUCUGAACCAGCCUCUGAUGUUGCUUGGCUGCACAUAUCCCAGUUUUAUCUGUGUUAUGUUAGACAGGGAAGCAACAUUGAGGCAAUGGUGAGCAGCCUACAUUGCCCUAUAUCCCAGGAUAUGAUCCCAGAUUAUCUGAUUUGAACUUGAUUAUAUGAGUCCAUACUGCAAGAUAAUUUGGGAUUGACAGAUUAUCUGAGAUCAAAUCCUGGAAUAUAGGGCAGUGUAGAUCCAGCCGGAGAGUCUAUAGACCAUAAUGGUUAAAGUUAAACAUACCACUAGGGCUGGAUCUACACUGCCCUAUAUCCCAGGCUCUGAUCCCAGAUUAUCUGACAGUGUAGAUUCAUAUAAUCCAGUUCAACACAGAUAAUCUGGGAUCAGAUCCUGGGAUAUAGGGCAGUGUAGAUUCAGGCUAUAAUUGGGUGUGGCGCAGCUGCAGCCUGCUGCAAUAAAUCACUCUGACCAUGAGGUCAUGAGUUCGAGGCCAGCCCAUGGCGGGGUGAGCACCCAUCAAUUAAAAAAAUAGCCCCUGCUUGUUGCUGACCUAGCAACCCGAAAGAUAGUUGCAUCUAUCAAGUAGGAAACAAGGUACCACUUAUAAAGUGGGGAGGCAAAUUUAACUAAUUUACGACAUUGGAAUGAGGAAGUGCCGUCACAGUGGAUGAUGAAGCAGCUGCUCCCCCCUGUGGCCAGAAUCAAACAUCCCCUCAGGAGAAGAUUAAAUUGCCUCUGCGUCUGUUUCUGUCUCGGUUCUAUGUGUAUAUGGGCAUUGAAUGUUUGCCCUAUAUGUUAUGGUUGAGCCUUCGGGCUCUGGUAAUGGAAGAAGGGGUCGUAAGACUCCUCGAGAGUCAGACACUCUCGAGGAGCGUGAAAGAAAACGUCUCCGGGAUUUGUUUGCAGAGCCGACAGAUGAGGACUCAUUUGAGGGUUUUUCUCAGGGUUUGGAGGAAGAGAUGGUCAGCUCGGAGGAGAAUGACAUGGAAUGGACUUGUGUGAGGGAGGAUUUGGGUGUUGGGGAAACAGGCAAUGAAAGCGUGGGAGGUGAUUGGCGGGUUGCAGGAUCAGACCCAUGGACUGGUUGGAGGGAUGGAGCGGGAUCCACAGCUGGGGAUGCUGUGGGGCGUAGUCGAAGGUGCUUAAGCUCUGAUGAGGAUGAUGAUGUUGGGGCGUCUGGAAUUGGGAUGGCAGCUGACAGCGAUGAUGAGCUUGAACUGGGAUAAAAUGGGGUUUGGGACCAAUGUCUAAUUGCGUUGGGCAAGGUAAUCUGGACGGACGCUUGGGCUUUUGUUUGGGAACUUCCUGAAGACGGGUGUGAUUCGCUACUGGAUACCUUGAACCUCCGUCGUCUUUUUGACGGGCAAUACCUACUUACACUGGAUUGACGCUGGACUGACUGACUACGAUUCCGGAUUAACCCUGCUGCUGGCUAUCGGUGAGACCUUUGGAUUCCUUGACGACUACGCUUGGCUAUUGAUCUUCUGGACCGGAUUGGGACCCUGCUGACUGCCGUUACCCUAGACCUGAAUCCUGACUACGACCACGCUUUCGUUUGCUGCAGGGAGGAAUAAACAAGCCUGUUUUACUCCCCUGCUGUUUCUGAGUAGCAGAGAGGAAUCUGCUACCAGUCUUUUGUUUACAUUCUGACUCCUGUUGAUCCUCUUUUGUUUGCAUUGUUUGCCAAGCUGAAGUAAGCACUUUGAUUUAAUCCGGAUUACACUGCUGUUUAACCCGGUUUAUCCCUUUGAACCAUUUAAGCUCAAACUGAGCUGUUUUUUGUUAUUUAUCCCACUGAAGUCAAGUGUUUGCCCUGUUCUUUGUUUCCUACGGGCGUUUUUAGUUCUGUAACCUCAAUAAACUGAGUUUUGUUUUA